rnacentral:rRNA from 1 species
GAUGAACGCUGGCGGCGUGCCUAAUACAUGCCAGUCGAGCGAACAGACGAGGAGCUUGCUCCUCUGACGUUAGCGGCGGACGGGUGAGUAACACGUGGAUAACCUACCUAUAAGACUGGGAUAACUUCGGGAAACCGGAGCUAAUACCGGAUAAUAUAUUGAACCGCAUGGUUCAAUAGUGAAAGACGGUUUUGCUGUCACUUAUAGAUGGAUCCGCGCCGCAUUAGCUAGUUGGUAAGGUAACGGCUUACCAAGGCAACGAUGCGUAGCCGACCUGAGAGGGUGAUCGGCCACACUGGAACUGAGACACGGUCCAGACUCCUACGGGAGGCAGCAGUAGGGAAUCUUCCGCAAUGGGCGAAAGCCUGACGGAGCAACGCCGCGUGAGUGAUGAAGGUCUUCGGAUCGUAAAACUCUGUUAUUAGGGAAGAUCAAAUGUGUAAGUAACUAUGCACGUCUUGACGGUACCUAAUCAGAAAGCCACGGCUAACUACGUG